AUAUUGAUGACAUUGAAAUUCCACUCUCUGCUAACAUUAUCUGAAAAAAAGCCAAUCUGCAUUCUCUCUAAAGCUAAUGAUUUUACACCAGUAAUGCCUGCUUUGGAAAACUUAUUAGAACCUCUGGAAGAUACAGGAAAAGAAAGAUUCAGAUGGAAAGGUUUAGAUGAUAAAAAUUCUAUAAACAAAAGAGGAUUAAGCACAUUUAGACAGUGACAGAAGAAAAAUAUGUAUUAGGAGAGCAUUAGAUUGGCUAGAAGAGGAAAACUUGCUUCUCACUAGAUAAGACAAUCCUAAGAAAAUAGCAUUAUUAAAAAAACGAAACUUAUGCUUGAAGAUUCAAUCUUUUCAUCUGGUGCAGCUCUGAUAGAACAUUCUAAUAAGACAUUGACAACUAAAAUUAAUGUCCUUCUAAAUAAAAAGUUCUUACUCCUUUCCUAAAGUGUCAAGAGUCCUAACCCAGUUAUGCCACAAGUUUUUGCCCUUUAAAAGUGUGUAAGGACCCAGCUGGAAUAUGAUCAUGGAUAAGAACCAUUCUAAUCAGUCUGGGAAAAAUUCUAGGUGAAUGGUGUAGCACUAAGCAUGAAGCUUAUUAUACAGUGAGCUCUUUGGAAAAUUUUAUAAAGAAAUUAGUAACUAUGAAUCUAGCAAAUGGAUAAAAUUAUUACUAUUUUCAGUUUCAAUAAACUUUACACCUUUAUAGAAUAUGAAGUAUAUAUAUAAGUGAACAUAACAUAGCAUAACUCUCU
rnacentral:lncRNA from 1 species